UUCACAUGAGAUGAAACUGCCAAUAUAAACGUACCAACCAAAUCAUUAAAAUCGUCGAGUGUUUCAACAGCAUCAGACAAACAGAUACCGCGGCCUGCCUAACCUACACUAUGAAGCACACAAGAAAAAAGUUCGACCUAAAUUCCUUGGCUGUGUACUCUGAAGAUUCUAUCGAAAUAUUCACAAACUGCUCUUCGAAGGCCCCAUUCUAAAAGAACUCUAGGUAGAUUGUAUGGAAUAUAUAUUUUUUACCACUCCCAACAAUGAAUAGAGCAAAUUAAUUUAAAAAAAAGGAAACCCAGUAGCGCCACGACCAAUGAAGAGCCGUCAUCUGGUGCUGGAAACGGUUCCGACGCAGUCAUUCCCUCAGUGGUUGCAUCAACAAUUUCCGUUCCGAAGGCCACCACCAUUCCUUCCAUCCCACCAGGAAUGUUCGCCCAACACAUCGUAUCAGCCGCUGCUUAUACCUCUUCUUGUGCCAUUACCGAUUAAGAAGCGGAAGAUGGUGACGACGAUUAUGCAUCGUUUCCAGCGAAUAUGAUCUUCGGUCAGUCAAAAUGGGCGAUGAAGAUUAGAAUCAGGUGUUCUGUGGCCGUUCAAAGUUGUUCAGGACGACAAACAGUUUAAGAGGCCUCGGCGAGUUGAAAUUUUGUGUAGCAAAACUGAUCCAAGCAAAUUUCGAAUUGUCAUGCGAGGCGAACAGAUGCACAAAAUUGCUGCCAACCAUUCGAUUGAAUAAGCUUGCGCCAAACAUCGCAAUGUUUUAUAGUCGAAGAGGCAGCAAACGAAUGUAUUAGAAGAACAAAAACUAAAAAAUAAACUAAUGAAAUAAAAAUCUAGCUUUUUGUAACAAAACCGAAAAACCUAAAUGAAUGGCAACAAUGCUAAUUGGCCCAGAAACGGUUCGAAAAACCGUUCUGUUUCGGUCCGAAAUCGGUCCUUUUUUACAGAUGGAUGCUAUGGCAAUCGGCCCAGAAUCGGUUCGAAAAAUCGUUCGGAUUCGGUCCGAAAUCGGUUCUUUUUUUCGGAUAGAGGCUAUGGCAAUCGACCCAGAAUCGGUUCGAAAAUUCGUUCGGUUUCGGUCCGAUAUCGGUCCUUUUUUCGGAUGGACGCUAUGGCAAUCGGCCCAGAAACGGUUCGAAAACCAUUAGGUUUCGGUCCGAAAACGGUUCGCUUGUUUUGACAUUUGAUCUGCUCGAACUGGUUGAAAAAACUUAUCGUCGUCCGAAAAAGUGUUUCAUUUUCGCACGAUUUUCUACUAAACUCGGCCCGAUUUCUUAUACGAUUUCGGACCGAUCGAGCAGAUGAACGGACAAAAAUCGGGCCGAUUUCGGGCGAUUUUUC